AGUGAACGCUGGCGGUAGGCCUAACACAUGCAAGUCGAACGGCAGCACAGUAAGAGCUUGCUCUUACGGGUGGCGAGUGGCGGACGGGUGAGGAAUACAUCGGAAUCUACUUUUUCGUGGGGGAUAACGUAGGGAAACUUACGCUAAUACCGCAUACGACCUACGGGUGAAAGCAGGGGAUCUUCGGACCUUGCGCGAUUGAAUGAGCCGAUGUCGGAUUAGCUAGUUGGCGGGGUAAAGGCCCACCAAGGCGACGAUCCGUAGCUGGUCUGAGAGGAUGAACGGCCAACCUGGAUUUGAGACACGGCCCAGACCCCUACGGGGGGCAGCGGUGGGGAAUUUUGGAAAAUGGGCGAAAGCCUGACCCAGCCAUACCGGGGGGGUGAAGAAGGCCUUCGGGUUGUAAAGCCCUUUUGUUGGGAAAAAAAAGCAGCAGGUUAAACCCCCGCUGUUCUGACGGUACCCAAAAAAUAAGCACCGGCUAACUUCGU
rnacentral:rRNA from 1 species